UUAGAGAUGAAGAAGUUGGAAAUAGCUUUGCAGCAAUACAUACAUUGACAACAGAUAUCCAUCCACACAGAGAGCAACGCUUGGAUAAAUAGAAAGAGAAGAAAAGAGGCGAGGGGGCUCUCUAAUUACCAGCCAGGACUCUGGAGAUCCCGUCAGCCAUUGUGCGCGGGUGUGCAGAGGCUGUGUGGCCGGCAGGCAGGCGACAGGCGCCGGAUUGUGGACAAAGGACUGUCUGCUGCUGAGGCUGUGAGGCGUCCCCGACGCAGCGAUUAACCCUUCCACCAGGACGGUGACAUUUUUUAUCGACUGUCUGUCCUCCCCCACCCGUGGAAUAAUGGUACAGUAGAGAUGUAACAGGUGACUAAGUUGCACAGACGACGAAUACUAAACUAUAGUCCUAACCCACAAACAACACCUUGUACCCUUUUUAUCCAAGUUGUAAACGAGUUCUUAUGAAAUCAAGGAUGGAAAAGUUUUAAAAAAGAUUUCCAACCUCUGUCUAAUUUUUACUUUACCACAUAAAGCAGUAUCUAAUUCAUGCGUUAAGAACCUUUAACGUCCAUGGUUUAAUUCGACAAAAGGUUCUGCAAUGUGGAAGUACUUUCGGUUAAUCAAAAUGCUCUCCAGUCUCUUUUUUACACUUUGCAAAAAGGUUAUUUGUGGAACCUAUUUUUCCUUAUUACCGUGAAACCCCGAUUUGGAUUUUAAAAGAGCGACUUUAUAAACAUUUGAUUUUAAUUUUAAUUGAUUUGUCUCAACUACGCUAUUUUGUCAGUAAACUACAUCCCUGAUCAACAGAUGGCGCAGCUGCAUCAGAUUUAGCUUCUGAUAACUGCAAAACGUCGACCUAUGUGUUUAGUCAGCACACACGCUGCAUUUUAUUUAAUCAAGUGAGUAAAAUGUUUGAUAGGCCUAUACAUUUUCACAAAUAUUUUAGAAUUCCAGUAUCACGCAACAAAAAAGCAUACGAGAUUAAUGCAUCUCGUAGCGCUAAGACUGAAAAAUGACGAUUUAGCCUUCUGAACA
rnacentral:lncRNA from 1 species